rnacentral:rRNA from 1 species
AUUGAACGCUGGCGGCAGGCCUAACACAUGCACGUCGAACGAGUGGCGGACGGGUGAGUAAUGUCUGGGAAACUGCCUGAUGGAUGGGGAUAACUACUGGAAACGGUAGCUAAUACCGCAUACCAUCGGAUGUGCCCAGAUUGGAUUAGCUAGUAGGUGGGGUAACGGCUCACCUAGGCGACGAUCCCUAGCUGGUCUGAGAGGAUGACCAGCAACACUGGAACUGAGACACGGUCCAUACUCCUACGGGAGGCAGCAGUGGGGAAUAUUGCACAAUGGGCGCAAGCCUGAUGCAGCCAUGCCGCGUGUAUGAAGAAGGCCUUCGGGUUGUAAAGUACUUGCAGCGGGGAGGCGUUACCCGCAGAAGAAGCACCGGCUAACUCCGUGCCAGCAGCCGCGGUAAUUC